rnacentral:rRNA from 1 species
UAGAGUUUCAUUCUGGCUCAGGAUGAACGCUAGCUACAGGCUUAACACAUGCAAGUCGAGGGGAAACGACGGUGGCGCUUGCGCCGCCGGGCGUCGACCGGCGCACGGGUGAGUAACGCGUAUCCAACCUUCCCGCGGGUAGGGAACAGCCUUGCGAAAGUAAGAUUAAUGCCCUAUGCCCUCCUUGGAUGGCAUCAGAAGAGGAGGAAAGGCCCCGGCCGCCCGCGGAUGGGGAUGCGUCUGAUCAGGCAGCAGGCGGGGCGACGGCCCACCUGGCCGACGAUCAGUAGGGGUUCUGAGAGGAAGGUCCCCCACAUUGGAACUGAGACACGGUCCAAACUCCUACGGGAGGCAGCAGUGAGGAAUAUUGGUCAAUGGGCGGAAGCCUGAACCAGCCAAGUAGCGUGCAGGAGGACGGCCCUACGGGUUGUAAACUGCUUUUGCGCGGGGAUAAAGUGCGGCACGGGUGCCGCAUUGCAGGUACCGCGCGAAUAAGGACCGGCUAAUUCCGUGCCAGCAGCCGCGGUAAUACGGAAGGUCCGGGCGUUAUCCGGAUUUAUUGGGUUUAAAGGGAGCGUAGGCCGCCGUUCAAGUGUGUUGUGAAAUGCAGGGGCUCAACCUCUGGACUGCAGCGCAAACUGUGCGGCUUGAGUGCGCGCGACGCCGGCGGAAUUCGUGGUGUAGCGGUGAAAUGCUUAGAUAUCACGAAGAACCCCGAUUGCGAAGGCAGCUGGCGGGAGCGCAACUGACGCUGAAGCUCGAAAGCGCGGGUAUCGAACAGGAUUAGAUACCCUGGUAGUCCGCGCGGUAAACGAUGGAUGCCCGCCGUGGCGCCUUUUUUGGUGCCGCGGCCAAGGGAAAAGCAUUAAGCAUCCCACAUGGGGAGGACGCCGGCAACGGUGAAACUCAAAAGGAAUUGACGGGGGCCCGCACAAGCGGAGGAACAUGUGGUUUAAUUCGAUGAUACGAGAGGAACCUUACCCGGGCUUGGAAUUGCAGCCGAACGACCAAGAGAUUGGAAGGCCCUUCGGGGCGCCUGUGAAGGUGCUGCAUGGUUGUCGUCAGCUCGUGCCGUGAGGUGUCGGCUCAAGUGCCAUAACGAGCGCAACCCCCCUCCACAGUUGCCAUCAGGUUAUGCUGGGCACUCUGUGGACACUGCCGCCGCAAGGUGCGAGGAAGGUGGGGACGACGUCAAAUCAGCACGGCCCUUACGUCCGGGGCUACACACGUGUUACAAUGGCCGGCACAGAGGGCUGGGGUCGCGCAAGCUCCCCCGAAUCCCGAAAUCCGGCCUCAGUUCGGACUGGGGUCUGCAACCCGACCCCACGAAGCUGGAUUCGCUAGUAAUCGCGCAUCAGCCAUGGCGCGGUGAAUACAAACCCGGGCCUUGUACACCCCGCCCGUCA